rnacentral:lncRNA from 1 species
CAGACUGAUGAUAUUACUUUGCAUGUUUGGAGAUAGCCAAUAAAUUGUCAGGCCAAUUUUACAUGAGAUUUUUUUAAUCAAAGUAUAAUUGAUUUACAGUGUUCCUUCAAUUUCUGCUGUACAGCAAAGUGACCCAGCCACCCAUAUACACACAGUUCCCUAUGCUGUACCGUAGGACCCCAUCACCCAUCCACUCUAAAUGGAGCUUUGAACGAUGCUCUCCUGUUCUGCAGAUGUGUGUCGUGAGAAGUAGUCAGGUGACUAAGGUUUGUCUCUCUUCUAUCAAGCGGUGCUUGGUGAAAUUGCAGACUAGUGACAGGUGUUUGCUUUAUCAGUGUGUUUCUGAGUAGCUUGGACAAAUAGUAUCAAUAUAUACUGAAUAAAACAAUAUUCCGAGACUAUAUGCAAAUGGGAAGUAGUUGAAACUUUUGAGAACCUUUUAAAAAAUGGCUUUGAAGUUUUAGGUAGAGUAAGGAUCAGGACUGAAUCAAUGAAAAGGGGUGUUAUCUAAACACAUCUCUUGAUUUCUUUACUCUCAUUAAAUAUAGACUUUGAGGUAACAGAAAUUUUCCCAGAAGAGGGUAUUUUUUCUGUGCUCUCAGUUCUUACAUCACCCGUAUAUCUUUAUUGGGCUUCCUGGAGUUUCUGCUGAUGACAUAGUUAUAAUAAUUUCCAGCGUUUCUUGAAAUUGUGUGUGCUAUAAGAAGGCAACAACAAAAAAACCUCCAAAUAAUUUUUGCUUAUUUACCUUUAAUCGGUAAUUGUAGUCAGGUUUAAUAAGGCUUGUUGAUUUAAAUAUUGAGUAUAAAUACAGAAGUAUAUAAUAGUUGGGCUUCUGGAGUACUCAGAGCUCAAGAGAUACAUGUGUAAGAAAUACACAUAAUUAAGUUAUAUUAUUUUCCUGUUGCCGGAAUAUUUGUUUUAAAAGUGCUAAGAGAAAAUUUUCAGAAUUUUCUUAGAUUCUUGAAGUAUCUGUUCUGUAAGCUGAAGUGUUGCGAUUGCACAUGUUGUACAGAAGAUGAUGUAACCGAACAUUAAACAUGAACUCUAAAGGUGCAGGGGGUCAUUGAGACCAAAACUGUGACCAACUUUGGGUGUGGUAAUGAACCAUAAACUGCCAAACAAGAGUGUUUAAGCAGUGAGGGGACCCUGCCAUGCUAGUGGAUGAAUUUAUAAUAGCGAUGAUGGAAGGUAGCUCUAGUCAUAUAAUUGCAUUGUUUCUUCAGCAUAAUAGCUAGUAUUCAUUUAGUGCUGAGGAUGUGCCAGACAUUGUGUUGAUGUAUUACACAAGAUUUGCGGUUAUUAUUUUAUACGUCUCAUCUAAUUUUAAUCUCAUUUCAGAGUUGAGGAAACCAAGAUUGAGAGUUAUGAUUUAAUUAGGGUCAAAUUUAAUGAAUGGGGAAAGUAAGAUUUAACCCUAGGCAGCCUGUCGCCAGAGUUCGCGUCUUAUUAAUCCAACUAUAGGUAAAUCAUACGCUUUGAUGUCUUCUUCCUUGGGUAGGAGUUUUCAAUACCAAGGGCCUCAACCCUAGUGUCCUUAUAAGAAGAAAGCAAUUCAGGCAAGACUCAGUGUGUUGGCUGUCCUGAAAGACUGUUUCCAUUCGCAAUGAAGAAGUGUGUCCCACAGCUCUCAAGGAAUGCCCUAGUGUCAGGACAGACCAAGUAGCCUGACCUGGUCCUAGAGUGUCCCUCACUCUUCGUUGUACGUCAGCAGGUAGCCACUGAGAGGUGCACAGAGAACCACCCCAUUGCUACCAUCCCUUCACCCCCAUCAUACCAACCCGCCCCCGCACGAGUGUUCUCGAAGCCAGGCAGCAGCUUCCACCCCUCACAGACCUUUGGCAAGUGAGCUGCCUCAGUCCUAAGUGAUAACUUGAUGUUGACACCUGCCUGUCAGAGCUGCAUCCGGGAACUGAUAAUCUAAGGUGCUGACUGUGGGGGAGGGUCAAGAGCAUCCGAGUGUGACUGAUUCACUGGGAGUCCUCGGGAUUAUAAACCCGAGGGUUUCUCUUGUCCUCCGCCCACCCUCCUUGUUUUCAAGCACGGAUGAACCUUGGUGUUGAGAUUCUGUUCCCUUGUGUUGCUGUUCCAAAAAGCAGUAUCUGGAGAGGUGGAUGGAGGACAGGGAGUAUCCUCAGCAAGAUAUUUGGCUUAUGUGCGUCCCUGUGGUUCUCUCAUAAACCUUCCCAUGGAGCAUCCCAGUGCGUUUUUCAAAUUACUUUUUUGUAAGUUAAAGUAUGGUUGAUGGACAGUGUUGUGUCCGUCUCUGCUGCACAGCAGAGUUGCCCCAGUCACACACAUGUAUUCGUCCUUUGUCUAGUUUUAUCUUCCAUCAUGUUCUAUCCUGAGAGACUGGAUAUUGUUCCCUGUGCCAUGCGGCAGGACCUCAUUGCUUAUCUAUUUUGGAUGUAAUAGUUUGCAUCUACCGACCCCAAACUCCCCGUCCAUCCCACUCCCUCCUCCUCCCUUGUGGCAACCACAAGUCUGUUCUUUAUGUCUGUGAGUCUGUUUCUGCUUUGCAGGCUCAUUUUCGUAGCCAUUUCUCAGACUACCCCAUAAAGCUCUUCUCUCUGAUCCAGUGUGAGUCAAGCAAACAAAAGCAAACCCAGCAGUGCUUAGCACUCAUACUGUGCUUCUACAACAUGGUUUUUCAGUCCCACCUCCCCUCAUUCAUACAGGGCAGGAACUUGUUCUUUCUGUUGUCCCUCUGAUGACAGAAAAGAUCCUAUCUCUGUGACUCUGUGAUGGCUAGAAUGGAGAGUGAUUGCGUCACAGAGUGACACGGACCCAACCUUCCGUCUCCAGGGAGGGAAGACAUUAGGAAAUCACUUCAGCCUUUUAGACAAAGGAGAAAUGAAAGCCACAUUUUAAGGAAAUUUUUGGUUUAAUGUGAUUUAAAAUCUCUUCUUUAAUUCAUGAUUUUUUUUUUUCCCCUCUGGUUCUGAAUGCACUUGGUUCAAUGGCUGUCACUUUUUCGGGGUGGAAUUCAGUCGGAACAGUGUGGUAUGUGUGAUGGGAGUAAAUGUUCUCUUUCUAGAUGGAACUAGGAGGUGAUCCCAAUUUCUCUUGUCAUUUACCCCCAUACCCUCUUUAGCAAGAGCUGUUCUUUCAUUGCUCUGUCUACAGAAAGAAAUUCCAGACUGUUUGCACUGCCUCCUUGGCUCUGUGAAGUUAGGAAUGUUUGAGCAAGGUUUAUGCAUUUCGAGUCAGAGAUAGAUAGCAUUUGUGUAGGAAUGAGAUGGAAGAUGUUAUUUUAGUUGAGAGUUUAUAUUUGAAGAUGGUAUGGGAGAUGAUUUAGGUCAUUUCAGGGAUUAGGAAAUCCCUGAGAAUGCAAGAUUACCGUAAGAAUUAUUUGGACAUUUCCCUGCGGUGGGAAGCAAAACUAUUUGAGGGUCUUUUGGUGGUUUUCUAUGUUCUCUGGUCAGCAAAUGGCCUCUUAGUGUAAAAGACAAGCAGGCCUCCAGCAUUCUGCUAGGGUGUCGUGGGCAACUGCAAAGGGAGUGAGGUCAGCUCGUUGCUCCGUAUCUCUGUGACCUCAGCUUUGGACUUUGGCGUCUUCCCCUGUAGAGUGGGAAUUGUCACAUCAUGGGCACUAUUUGUCUUCCAGCCGGGUUGUUUUGAGGGUCAGAAGAAGCUAUGUCUUUUUUAUUUUUUAUUUUUUUUUUUGUCUUUUUGCCAUUUCUUGGGCCGCUCCUGCGGCAUAUGGAGGUUCCCAGGCUAGGGGUCUAAUCGGAGCUGUAGCCACCAGCCUACACCAUAGCCACAGCAACUCGGGAUCCGAGCCGCGUCUGCGACCUACACCACAGCUCACGGCAACGCCGGAUCUUUAACCCACUGAGCAAGGGCAGGGAUCGAACCCGCAACCUCAUGGUUCCUAGUCGGAUUCGUUAACCACUGCGCCACCACGGGAACUCCAAGCUAUGUCUUUUUUAAACGAUAAUACAAUUACCUAAAAAUUGGUGGUAUUUUUACUCUUGUUUUUGUUGGUACGGUCACUGUCCUUCAGGAAUUCAUAAUUUGAACAAGGGUUGUAUAAAAGAAAUACUUAGCAUCAUAAAAGAGGCUAUAUAACUAAAUGCAGUUCAUCUUUCAGCAGUUUCUGUGUUUGACGGGACAUCGGGAAAAGGAGAGGUGACUGUAGGUAGUUGAGUCCGAGGAGGCAUUCUGGAGAAGGUGGAUUUUGAGCGUGGUGUUUCAGUGUGGACAGGGCAGCGAGUGAGCGGAGACCCUGACCUAGAGAAGAAAGGUGAACGUGGUAGGGAGGAAGGUAGGUAAGUGGAUGAGCCUGAUUUCACCCAUGCGCCAUGGAAUGGAAAGUUGUUUGCCUUCAUGUGCCAUCCAGAGCCCUUCAGAACCAGUUCUCGUAGUGCUUGGAACUCAGCCUAUUCCUUUGCACAUCCCCGUUCUUCUUCAUGGGAUUAUUUUCCUCCUUUCCUUCCUCUCCCAGUCCAGGGUCACGUAUCUUAAAGAUCAGGUAUCCUCUCUCUGGUGCCUUUGCUGCUCAGUGAAGCCUGCCUUCCUCUGCUUUCCUACUGGACCUUCUAGAGGGCUUCAUUACUCAUGACUUAGCUAAAUUAGCUAUGUGGUUUAAAUACCAUUUCAUUUUGCCAUUAUAAUAGCUUCCCGUGUUAGGUAUUGCUGUAUCAUCCUUAUUUUAUAAAUAAUACUGAAAACCCUCGAGGCUCUGAAAGUUGAUUUCACCCAAGGUCCUUGAGCGAAUAAUAGGUACUGCAACUUGAGCUAAGUGUAUAUCUGUUCUCAAUGAUGGAAAAUUGAAAGAUGAUUUUUAACUACCUGAUUUUAAGUUUUUGCAUGUAAAUAAAUGAGAGAAGAAAAAUAAGACAAAAAUAGAUUUUGGGAACGGUCCCAUAUUUUUUUCCUCCUGGAUUUUGCAGGGCAAUAGAAAAAAAUGAACCUGGCGAUAAAAUAAAGGAUUAAUAACAUGUUGAGAUAAGUAGGAGUUAAUUACAACUGACUCAGGUUUUUCAAGAAUGUAUUUUUUUUUCCCACUGUGAAGCACUAAGUCCAAAAAAUUCUUUAUUCUGGUUAUAGGAUUCUAUUAUUUCAAAUUUUACAAAUGAAUAUUUACCAAGGCAAAAUGAUUAAACAUUUAAAAGUGGUUUUGUUUGUUAGCUGGGAGGAAUACUUUGCCUGGUGGCAAGGAAUGUUUUGUAUUAGGUUAUAGAUGUCAUGGUUGCCUACCGUAAUUGUGGGGAGAGACAGGUGCUAUAGACAUCGUGUUUAUUGGAUGUUUGACUCACUGCCUUUUCCAGGUCAUUGGUUCUGGCUGAGUCCCAAGCUUUUGUGUCGAAAUUGGUCUAGCCUAGGAUUAUGACAGAACUGUUCCUCUUGGCAGCAGGGCUGGUCAGGGCCCUGGGAGGCUCAGGAGCUAAGGAAACUGUGCUAUGUGGGGAAACUCCUCCAGGUUUUUUGUGUUUUAAAGGGAUCUUUGUCAUCUCAGCAGUUCAGUCAUCUUGGUUAAAACUAGGUUAAAACUAUCUUUGUCCAAGGAGGACCAUGAGAAGGAAGAUGAGCGGGUUUAAAGUAGAAGGCUUUGGGAUAAAUUUGGACUUUGAGCUGAACUUUGAUGGCUGGUUGGAUUUACUUCGGUGUGUUACACAGAGGACAAUACCUUAGACCUAAAACUGAUGCCGUAUUUAGGAAGCUCUGAUGGGAUUAGAGGAAGAGGGGUAAAAAAAUCCACCUGUUGUAACUCGAAUGUCCAGAGAAAUGUGUACUUUGUUUUGUUGGGAAUCUGGUUUUUCUAGUAAGGCUCAUUUACGCAUUGCUUCAAAAAUAAAACAUAACUACUGAAGCCAGUCUCGAAGAAAAGGAGUUUGAGUUUAUAAUUUAAACAGUCUCCUGGGGUAAUGAUGCUUCUGUCUGGGAAACAUCACUCAUCUCUCUCUCCCUUCUUCCUAUGCUUCUCCAAGAUGACGAGGUGUACGGGACAGUGGGAGGGAAAGAGUUACUUCCCUUGUGCCCACUGUCCAUUGCCCUCAUCUGUGGGGCAGUGUCUCCUGAUCUCCUGCUUGCUGAAUGCCUCGUUGACCUACAGUGCUCAUGCUUGUGACUAAUGAACUCGAAUGGUCCAUUUAAAAAAUCUUCUCUCACUGGGUACACACUGGCUGACUCCAGACUUAUCCUUGGCUUUCGCUGGACCUUGGAAUCCUUGGAGGUCUGGCUGUGCUACCCACUUGAUCGUGCCAUGAGCAGUCCACUCUGCAGAUCUUGUUCCAGAGUUAGCUCUGUUUAUGGCAGUGAUCUCUCUCUGAGACUCUUCUUUGUCAGAUCCUUAGCUACAUCUGCAUCUUGUCUAUCCUGCACAGUAAUCCAGCAUGGUUCAGAAAAGCUAAACUUCAGGGAUUCCCCUGCCUGCCUGUAAACGGUGGUUUAUUUUGAUAUGGCUCCACCCCAGGACCUUAAGGGGUGUCUUAAAGCAUGCAAACGGAGAAAGGCAUGUAUAAACAGAGAGGGGCUAGGAGAAGUAAAAAAAGAAUUGACGUGUCUAUUCAUCUCAGUGCCCUUCUCUCCUUUUCUCACAAUGCUUCCAGUGUCAAAAACAGGCAGGAUUCUUCCUUCCUCUUCCUCUCAGGUCCUGACUAUGUAGGAUUCUAUAGUUUAGCUCAGUAAAGAUAUCAAAGGAAGGAUAUUAUCUCUGAAGAUAAUAACUUGAUUUUCUAAGGCUCAUGUUUGGCUGCAAAAUCUUGCUUUCUGAAUGUUUUUUCCGUCUUGAUCUUUGCAUUUUCAAUUCUCCUAUGACAAAUCUUAGUCUUUCCAAGCUAUAAGCUGGGAGCAGACUUGGGAAAAGAUCAUGUGCUCAAAAAGGCCAAAGGUAAAAAAGCACGUUAACAUUUCAGAGUGUGGUAGAAGAGGUAAAAAGUGACUCAAAACUGACCCAGGUUCUUUGAACCAGAUUUGGCAAACUCUUGUCCUGUAGGAUUAGUUAACAGCAUGCUUAAAGUGAUUACUUCCAGAAGGGAUGUAUGGACAAAAGGAUCUCUGCCUCUUAGGGAUUCACAACAAAUAUUAGCUCAUUAAAGGUUCUGAAAAGUCCUGC